rnacentral:rRNA from 1 species
AUUGAACGCUGGCGGCAUGCUUUACACAUGCAAGUCGAACGGCAGCGCGGGCUUCGGCCUGGCGGCGAGUGGCGAACGGGUGAGUAAUAUAUCGGAACGUACCCAAGAGUGGGGGAUAACGUAGCGAAAGUUACGCUAAUACCGCAUACGAUCUAAGGAUGAAAGCAGGGGAUCGCAAGACCUUGUGCCCCUGUAGCGGCCGAUAUCUGAUUAGCUAGUUGGUGAGGUAAAGGCUCACCAAGGCAACGAUCAGUAGCUGGUCUGAGAGGAUGAUCAGGCACACUGGAACUGAGACACGGUCCAGACUCCUACGGGAGGCAGCAGUAGGGAAUAUUGCACAAUGGGGGAAACCCUGAUGCAGCAACGCCGCGUGAGUGAAGAAGGCCCUUGGGUUGUAAAGCUCUUUAGCGUGGGAAGAGGGUAGAUAUGGUGAAUAAUCAUGUUUGCUGACGGUACCACGAGAAUAAGCACCGGCUAAUUUCGUGCCAGCCGCCGCGGUAACAC